AUGUUACUGGAGAAAUGUAAAUUGGUACAAUUACUGAAUUGUCCAUGAGAAAAAAUAUAGGUAGGUACUUUGAAUAUUUAACAAUUUCCUUAUUAUAUUUGUGUAAUUGAGUAAUAUUUUCAAUGCUGGACUUUUUUGUAGUCAUGGAUCAUUCAGACACAGUUGUUAGUUCAGUAAGCAAAUCAAGAUGAUGAUAAAGUGUGUUUGAAUAAUAAGAAUAUUUUAAUAACAA